GUGCCAGCAGCCGCGGUAAUACGAAGGGGGCUAGCGUUGUUCGGAAUGACUGGGCGUAAAGGGCGCGUAGGCGGCGAUUUUAGUCAGGCGUGAAAGCCCUGGGCUCAACCUAGGAACUGCGUUUGAUACUGGAUCGCUUGAGUGUGGGAGAGGAUGGUGGAAUUCCCAGUGUAGAGGUGAAAUUCGUAGAUAUUGGGAAGAACACCGGUGGCGAAGGCGGCCAUCUGGACCACUACUGACGCUGAGGCGCGAAAGCGUGGGGAGCAAACAGGAUUAGAUACCCUGGUAGUCC
rnacentral:rRNA from 1 species